CCCAUCCCUGUCUGUUGGUCAGGAGGACGCAGUUUCACUUUGUCCCACUCGCCUCUGCCUCCGGGAGACUCAGCACACCCAGUGUAUGCAGCCAGCUCACAGGGAUAAGAUGUGCUGUCUGCUGAGCUGGCUCUGGAGACCCAGGUGCCAUUUGGAGCCUGUGAGACCCCUUCUUAGGGGAGUCUCAGCCAAGAAUCAGGACAGCACCCGGAUCUCUGGCCGGGGCCCUUGCUGUGCCCAGGGUGCUCAGAGAGAAUUUACAACCAGUCCAGCCUCCAAGAGACUCGCAGGCUAGAGGGGAGACACUCACCUACAGCAAGCAAUGAGUGCAAUGUGAUCAUUGCACCUGGCAAGGCUGAAAAGAGCAGGGCCAGGGAGAAGGCUGAGUGACAGGAGGAGGGCCAGGGUUCAGGUCUCCCACCAUCCUGAGGACUCCCAUGGCUGGUGAACUCUGUGAACCCACUCCUGGCAGGAGCCCUGGCACCCCCCGAACACCACACUCUAGUGUCGAGCUGUCCCCACUGGAAUGCAGGUUGGGAAGGAGGCAAUGGAGUGGGGUGGGUGGGAGCUGAGGUGGCAAAAUUUGGUGGAAAUGG
rnacentral:lncRNA from 1 species